rnacentral:rRNA from 1 species
UGCAAGUCGAACGGUGAAGCCCAGCUUGCUGGGUGGAUCAGUGGCGAACGGGUGAGUAACACGUGAGCAACCUGCCCCUGACUCUGGGAUAAGCGCUGGAAACGGCGUCUAAUACUGGAUACGAACCACAGUCGCAUGGCUCGUGGUUGGAAAGAUUUUUUGGUUGGGGAUGGGCUCGCGGCCUAUCAGCUUGUUGGUGAGGUAAUGGCUCACCAAGGCGUCGACGGGUAGCCGGCCUGAGAGGGUGACCGGCCACACUGGGACUGAGACACGGCCCAGACUCCUACGGGAGGCAGCAGUGGGGAAUAUUGCACAAUGGGCGCAAGCCUGAUGCAGCAACGCCGCGUGAGGGAUGACGGCCUUCGGGUUGUAAACCUCUUUUAGCAAGGAAGAAGCGAAAGUGACGGUACUUGCAGAAAAAGCGCCGGCUAACUACGUGCCAGCAGCCGCGGUAAUACGUAGGGCGCAAGCGUUAUCCGGAAUUAUUGGGCGUAAAGAGCUCGUAGGCGGUUUGUCGCGUCUGCUGUGAAAUCCCGAGGCUCAACCUCGGGCCUGCAGUGGGUACGGGCAGACUAGAGUGCGGUAGGGGAGAUUGGAAUUCCUGGUGUAGCGGUGGAAUGCGCAGAUAUCAGGAGGAACACCGAUGGCGAAGGCAGAUCUCUGGGCCGUAACUGACGCUGAGGAGCGAAAGGGUGGGGAGCAAACAGGCUUAGAUACCCUGGUAGUCCACCCCGUAAACGUUGGGAACUAGUUGUGGGGUCCUUUCCACGGAUUCCGUGACGCAGCUAACGCAUUAAGUUCCCCGCCUGGGGAGUACGGCCGCAAGGCUAAACUCAAAGGAAUUGACGGGGACCCGCACAGCGGCGGAGCAUGCGGAUUAAUUCGAUGCACGCGAGACCUUACCAGCUGACAUACACGAGACACUCUAGAAAUAGGGACUCUUUGGACACU